UAAAACAUUCGUUUAAAAUGAAAUUAUGAUUAUUUGGAUAUAAUAAGAAAAUAAAAUAAAUAUUAAGUAAAAUAUUCUAUUUUCUUAUUAAACAAUAUUUUCAGAGUUAUAGGUAGAUAAUUUUGUAGCGUAAAAGCAAAGUAAAUUCAUACAUACUGUAAUACAGUAAACCAGAGUAUUUAAUUUAAUUUACAAUGACCAGUGGGCCCCUGAAUAAUCAAAAGUAAAGAGGACUGUGAACCUACAGUUUGAAGGUAUGCAAAUCCAAGGGUAGUCGUCGAUGAACUCAGCUAUCUACAACCUAAUCUGAACCUGAAAUGGGUGGAAAGGAGAGUGGUGAGAUUUUAUAAUCCCAGUGAGUAAACAAACAUCAUCCGAAAUAUCUAAAGUCGAGUAAAAUGAGACAAUUAAAAUAUUUCAUCUCAAUAUUUAUUUCAUAACAUAAAUAUUCAUUUCAUUUAAAUAUUCAACAUGACUUAUGAGUAUCUUAAAAACUUGGCUCCUGUCAAAAUCAUUCUCGGAGAUACCUUGGUAGAGGCAUCUAACUGAGUUCGCCAAGGAUAUUAAAAAGUUCGUAUACACGUAAACAUAUUUUUAGUUUGAAAAACAUAGUCAUUCCUUGGCGUUAACGGAGUUCAUCAUCACGAGGUGGUUCGGUGUGACGUGAACUCUGUUCAUACCUCAGGAGAUAACCUACGCGCCUCUCCGACCGAGGUAUAUAUAUAUCUAGAUUUUGUGCCCCUUUAAUAGGCUGGUCUACAGAAUCUGCCUACUGCAGCAAGCUAAACCCACCAUACAAUAAAACUUUGACAAUAUGACAGGGCUAAUAUUUUACUACCCAGCCUGCACGGGUAAAAUAAAACAAUUCAUACAAUUCAUAAAAUACAGCCCAACCAGUCAUGCCAACACAAUAACAAUAUAACAUAAGCCAUCAAUUUCUAAUCAUAAAUUUACAAUAUACCAGUGGUCUCCAAUUACUCUAUUUUCAAAAUCGUUAUUUCGUUUCAAGACAAUUUAUAAAGUCUUUUCAUUUAAACACAUUUUGUUUACAAAACAUAAAAAUUUUCCAUUUGAACUCAUUUUCAUAAAAUUCACCAAAACCGAAUAAAAACAUACUUUAGAUAAUUAAAAUGAUGGUAAGGUUACUCACUAUUUCAGGAGUCGAAUUUCUAGAGUACUCUGACUACCGACCAUCGGGUACAAUUUCCUUGCCUUUAUCGGAG
rnacentral:lncRNA from 1 species